AGCGAACGCUGGCGGCAGGCCUAACACAUGCAAGUCGAACGAACCUUUCGGGGUUAGUGGCGGACGGGUGAUUAACACGUGGGAACGUGCCUUUAGGUUCGGUAUCACUCAGGGAAACUUGUGCUAAUACCGAAUGUGCCCUUCGGGGGUAAGAUUACUCGCCUUUAGAGCGGCCCGCGUCUGAUUCGCUAGUUGGUUGAGGUAAUGGCUCACCAAGGCGACGAUCAGUAGCUGGUCUGAGAGGAUGAUCAGCCACAUUGGGACUGAGACACGGCCCAAACUGCUACGGAAGGCAGCAGUGGGGAAUAUUGCGCAAUGGGCGAAAGCCUGACGCAGCCAUGCCGGGUGAAUGAUGAAGGUCUUAGGAUUGUAAAAUUCUUUCACCGGGGACGAUAAUGACGGUAACCGGAGAAGAAGCACCGGCUAACUACGU
rnacentral:rRNA from 1 species